GUGGGGAAUUUUGGACAAUGGGCGCAAGCCUGAUCCAGCAAUGCCGCGUGCAGGAUGACGGCCCUCUGGGUUGUAAACUGCUUUUAUACGGGAAGAAAAAAUACUACGUGUAGUAUACUGACGGUACCGUAAGAAUAAGGAUCGGCUAACUCCGUGCCAGCAGCCGCGGUAAUACGGAGGAUCCAAGCGUUGUCCGGAUUUAUUGGGUUUAAAGGGUGCGUAGGCGGAUCUUUAAGUCAGUGGUGAAAGCCUGCAGCUUAACUGUAGAAUUGCCAUUGAAACUGAAGAUCUUGAAUGUGGUUAAAGUAGGCGGAAUGUAUCAUGUAGCGGUGAAAUGCUUAGAUAUGAUACAGAACACCGAUAGCGAAGGCAGCUUGCUGAACCAUUAUUGACGCUGAGGCACGAAAGCGUGGGGAGCGAACAGGAUUAGAAACCCCAGUAGUCC
rnacentral:rRNA from 1 species